GACGAACGCUGGCGGCGUGCUUAACACAUGCAAGUCGAACGGUGAAGGGGCCUGCUUUUGUGGGCCCUGGAUGAGUGGCGAACGGGUGAGUAACACGUGAGUAACCUGCCCCCUUCUUCUGGAUAACCGCAUGAAAGUGUGGCUAAUACGGGAUAUUCUGGGUCUGUCGCAUGAUGGGUCUGGGAAAGAUUGCGCCUUUGGGUGUUUUUGGUGGGGGAUGGGCUCGCGGCCUAUCAGCUUGUUGGUGGGGUGAUGGCCUACCAAGGCGGUGACGGGUAGCCGGCCUGAGAGGGUGGACGGUCACACUGGGACUGAGACACGGCCCAGACUCCUACGGGAGGCAGCAGUGGGGAAUAUUGCACAAUGGGCGCAAGCCUGAUGCAGCGACGCCGCGUGAGGGAGGGAGGCCUUCGGGUUGUAAACCUCUUUCGCCAGUGAAGCAGGCCUGCUCCUUGUGGGUGGGUUGACGGUAGCUGGAGAAGAAGCGCCGGCUAACUACGUG
rnacentral:rRNA from 1 species